rnacentral:rRNA from 1 species
GACGAACGCUGGCGGCGUGCUUAACACAUGCAAGUCGAACGCUGAAGACCUGGCUUUUGUUGGGUUGGAUGAGUGGCGAACGGGUGAGUAACACGUGAGUAACCUGCCCUCUUCUUUGGGAUAACGCCCGGAAACGGGUGCUAUACUGGAUAUUCACUGGCCUUCGCAUGGGGGUUGGUGGAAAGGUUUGUUCUGGUGGGGGAUGGGCUCGCGGCCUAUCAGCUUGUUGGUGGGGUGAUGGCCUACCAAGGCUUUGACGGGUAGCCGGCCUGAGAGGGUGACCGGUCACAUUGGGACUGAGAUACGGCCCAGACUCCUACGGGAGGCAGCAGUGGGGAAUAGUGCACAAUGGGCGAAAGCCUGAUGCAGCGACGCCGCGUGAGGGAUGGAGGCCUUCGGGUUGUAAACCUCUUUCGCUCAUGGUCAAGCCGCAACUGUGGGUUGUGGUGAGGGUAGUGGGUAAAGAAGCGCCGGCUAACUACGUG